rnacentral:rRNA from 1 species
GAUGAACGCUGGCGGCGUGCCUAAUACAUGCAAGUCGAGCGAACAGAUGAGGAGCUUGCUCCUCUGACGUUAGCGGCGGACGGGUGAGUAACACGCGGAUAACCUACCUAUAAGACUGGGAUAACUUCGGGAAACCGGAGCUAAUACCGGAUAAUAUAUUGAACCGCAUGGUUCAAUAGUGAAAGACGGUUUUGCUGUCACUUAUAGAUGGAUCCGCGCCGCAUUAGCUAGUUGGUAAGGUAACGGCUUACCAAGGCAACGAUGCGUAGCCGACCUGAGAGGGUGAUCGGCCACACUGGAACUGAGACACGGUCCAGACUCCUACGGGAGGCAGCAGUAGGGAAUCUUCCGCAAUGGGCGAAAGCCUGACGGAGCAACGCCGCGUGAGUGAUGAAGGUCUUCGGAUCGUAAAACUCUGUUAUUAGGGAAGAACAAAUGUGUAAGUAACUAUGCACGUCUUGACGGUACCUAAUCAGAAAGCCACGGCUAACUACGUG